rnacentral:rRNA from 1 species
AUUAACGCUGGCGGCAUGCCUAAUACAUGCAAGUCGAACGGAUGUACUUGUACAUCAGUGGCGAACGGGUGAGUAAUAUAUAGGUAACUUACCCCUAAGUCUGGUAUAACUACUGGAAACGGUUCGUAAUACCGGGUAGGAUAUUUACACACAUGUGUUUAUAUUUAAAGGUGCCUUCAAGCAUCGCUUAGGGAGAGGCCUGUAUCGCAUUAGCUAGUUGGUGAGGUAACGGCUCACCAAGGCGACGAUGCGUAACUGUGCUGAGAGGCAAAACAGUCACAUUGGAACUUAGACACGGUCCAAACUCCUACGGGAGGCAGCAGUAGGGAAUUUUCGGCAAUGGGGGCAACCCUGACCGAGCAAUGCCGCGUGAAUGAAGAAGAUCUUCGGAUUGUAAAAUUCUGUUAUUGGGGAAGAAAAAUAUGCAUAGGAAAUGAUGUAUAUCUGACGGUACCUGAUGAGGAAGCCCCGGCUAACUAUGUGCCAGCAGCCGCGGUAAUACAUAGGGGGCAAGCGUUAUCCGGAAUUAUUGGGCGUAAAGCGUGCGUAGGCGGUUUAUUAAGUCUGAUGUGAAAGCCCACAGCUUAACUGUGGAAUGUCAUUGGAAACUGGUAAACUAGAGUACGGUAGAGGUAAGUGGAAUUCCAAGUGGAGCGGUGGAAUGCGUAGAGAUUUGGAGGAACACCAGUGGCGAAGGCGGCUUACUGGGCCGGAACUGACGCUGAGGCACGAAAGCGUGGGGAGCAAACAGGAUUAGAUACCCUGGUAGUCCACGCCGUAAACGUUGAGCACUAAGUACUGGGAGUUAAAUUUCGGUGCUGCAGUUAACACAUUAAGUGCUCCGCCUGGGGAGUACGGUCGCAAGACUGAAACUCAAAGGAAUUGACGGGGACUCGCACAAGCGGUGGAGCAUGCGGUUUAAUUCGAUGCAACGCGAAGAACCUUACCAGGUCUUGACAUCUGAUUGCCAGGACUAGAGAUAGUCCCUUUCUUCGGAACAAUCAAGACAGGUGGUGCAUGGUUGUCGUCAGCUCGUGUCGUGAGAUGUUGGGUUAAGUCCCGCAACGAGCGCAACCCUUAUCAUUAGUUGCUAACAUUCAGUUGAGCACUCUAAUGAGACCGCCGGUGACAAACCGGAUGAAGGUGGGGAUGACGUCAAAUCAUCAUGCCCCUUAUGACCUGGGCUACACGCGUGCUACAAUGGCUGGUACAAAGAGUCGCAAUACCGCGAGGUGGAGCUAAUCUCGUAAAGCCAGUCUCAGUUCGGAUUGUAGUCUGCAACUCGACUACAUGAAGUUGGAAUCGCUAGUAAUCGUGAAUCAGAAUGUCACGGUGAAUACGUUCUCGAGUCUUGUACACACCGCCCGUCACACCAUGAGAGUUUAUAACACCCGAAGCCGGUGGCUUAACUAGCAAUAGAGGGAGCCGUCUAAGGUGGGAUAGAUGAUUGGGGUG